GGACCCGGCCGAACCUUUUUUCCCCUUUUAAGCGGCGGACGGUUGAGUACACCGUGGGUACCCCCCCCGUAAGCCCGGGAUAAUUCCGGGAAACCGGAGCUAAUACCGGAUAACACCGAAGACCGCAUGGUCUUUGGUUGAAAGGCGGCUUCGGCUGCCACUUACGGAUGGGCCCGCGGCGCAUUAGCUAGUUGGUGAGGUAACGGCUCACCAAGGCGACGAUGCGUAGCCGGCCUGAGAGGGUGACCGGCCACACUGGGACUGAGACACGGCCCAGACUCCUACGGGAGGCAGCAGUAGGGAAUCUUCCGCAAUGGACGAAAGUCUGACGGAGCGACGCCGCGUGAGCGAAGAAGGUCUUCGGAUCGUAAAGCUCUGUUGUUAGGGAAGAAGAAGCCCGUCGAACAGCGCGGCACGGUG
rnacentral:rRNA from 1 species